AUUGAACGCUGGCGGCAGGCCUAACACAUGCAAGUCGAACGAGUGGCGGACGGGUGAGUAAUGUCUGGGAAACUGCCUGAUGGAGGGGGAUAACUACUGGAAACGGUAGCUAAUACCGCAUACCAUCGGAUGUGCCCAGAUGGGAUUAGCUUGUUGGUGGGGUAACGGCUCACCAAGGCCACGAUCCCUAGCUGGUCUGAGGGGAUGACCAGCGACACUGGAACUGGUACACGGUCCAGAACCCUACGGUAGGCAGCAGUGGGGAAUAUUGCACAAUGGGCGCAAGCCUGAUGCAGCCAUGCCGCGUGUAUGAAGAAGGCCUUCGGGUUGUAAAGUACUUUCAGCGGGGAGGCGUUACCCGCAGAAGAAGCACCGGCUAACUCCGUGCCAGCAGCCGCGGUAAUUC
rnacentral:rRNA from 1 species